rnacentral:rRNA from 1 species
AUGAACGCUAGCUACAGGCUUAACACAUGCAAGUCGAGGGGCAGCAUGAACAUAGCUUGCUAUGUUUGAUGGCGACCGGCGCACGGGUGCGUAACGCGUAUCCAACCUUCCCGUUACUCUCGGAUAGCCUUCCGAAAGGGAGAUUAAUACGAGAUGGUGUUGAAAUUCCGCAUGUUAUUUCAACUAAAGAUUCAUCGGUAACGGAUGGGGAUGCGUGACAUUAGGUAGAUGGCGGGGUAACGGCCCACCAUGCCUACGAUGUCUAGGGGUUCUGAGAGGAAGGUCCCCCACACUGGAACUGAGACACGGUCCAGACUCCUACGGGAGGCAGCAGUGAGGAAUAUUGGUCAAUGGUCUGACGACUGAACCAGCCAUGCCGCGUGAAGGUCACGGCCCUAUGGGUCUUAAACUUCUUUUGCGAGGGAGCAAUAAGGUCUACGUGUAGUCCGAUGAGAGUACCUCGCGAAUAAGCAUCGGCUAACUCCGUG